rnacentral:lncRNA from 1 species
GACACGAAGGCUCCAGCCAGUUGGUGCUUCUGCGCACUGUGAGCAGAGCUGCCCGGGAGCCCUACCCAGCUUGUCAGCCCUGCAGACUCCUGGGAAGACUGUCUGGCGGGCCCAGCAGGGGCCAGGCUAAAGCAGCUGGCUCUAGGGAGGCAGAAAAGCAGGUGUGAAUCUGUGACUAAUGCCAAAGAAGGGAGAUCAAAGGAGCAGAGCUGCUUUGGCUGAGGAAGUGAAGGACGCAGGCCAGUGGCACAAGAUGGAGUCGAUCAUACUCAUCGAAACCCCGUCCUAGCCGGCCUUGAAGUCGACCUCAACGUAUUC